AGAGUGCCUGCAGCAUCUUCCAAAAACGGGGCUGGAGAUGCCAGUCACAAGUUCAAAGAAGAUCACACAGUGCCUGGGCCGUCUUCUGCUGGACAACAUGGACAGCAUGUUGGACAAGACUCCUCUGGUCAAGGGGACCUACAACAGGCCCCAUCAGACAAGGAGGGAUCCAAA
rnacentral:lncRNA from 1 species